UGGGAAUUUGGACAAUGGGCGAAAGCCUGAUCCAGCAAUGCCGCGUGUGUGAAGAAGGCCUUCGGGUUGUAAAGCACUUUUGUCCGGAAAGAAAUCCUUGGCUCUAAUACAGUCGGGGGAUGACGGUACCGGAAGAAUAAGCACCGGCUAACUACGUGCCAGCAGCCGCGGUAAUACGUAGGGUGCAAGCGUUAAUCGGAAUUACUGGGCGUAAAGCGUGCGCAGGCGGUUUGCUAAGACCGAUGUGAAAUCCCCGGGCUCAACCUGGGAACUGCAUUGGUGACUGGCAGGCUAGAGUAUGGCAGAGGGGGGUAGAAUUCCACGUGUAGCAGUGAAAUGCGUAGAGAUGUGGAGGAAUACCGAUGGCGAAGGCAGCCCCCUGGGCCAAUACUGACGCUCAUGCACGAAAGCGUGGGGAGCAAAACAGGAUUAGAUACCCUGGUAGUCCACGCCCUAAACGAUGUCAACUAGUUGUUGGGGAUUCAUUCCUUAGUAACGUAGCUAACGCGUGAAGUUGACCGCCUGGGGAGUACGGUCGCAAGAUUAAAACUCAAAGGAAUUGACGGGGUCAUAGCUGUUUCCU
rnacentral:rRNA from 1 species